GACGAACGCUGGCGGCGUGCUUAACACAUGCAAGUGGUGCGACGAACCAGGGCUUGCCCUGGGGCAAAGCCGCGAACGGGUGAGUAACACGUGAGUAACCUGCCCCGAUGACCGGGACAACCCGAGGAAACUCGGGCUAAUACCGGAUGUGGUACACGGACUUAAGCCUGUGUACUAAAGGAAGCUUCGGCCUCCGCAUUGGGAGGGGCUAGCGGCCCAUUAGCUUGUUGGUGGGGUAACGGCCUACCAAGGCAACGAUGGGUAGCUGGUCUGAGAGGACGAUCAGCCACACUGGGACUGAGACACGGCCCAGACUCCUACGGGAGGCAGCAGUGGGGGAUCUUGCGCAAUGCGCGAAAGCGUGACGCAGCAACGCCGCGUGAGGGAAGACGGCCUUCGGGUUGUAAACCUCUUUCAGGAGGGACGAAGGUUCGCCGGUGAAUAGCCGUGCGGAUUGACGGUACCUCCAGAAGAAGCUCCGGCUAACUACGUGCCAGCAGCCGCCGUAACAC
rnacentral:rRNA from 1 species